rnacentral:rRNA from 2 species
UCAGACGAACGCUGGCGGCGUGCCUAAUACAUGCAAGUCGAACGAACUCUGGUAUUGAUUGGUGCUUGCAUCAUGAUUUACAUUUGAGUGAGUGGCGAACUGGUGAGUAACACGUGGGAAACCUGCCCAGAAGCGGGGGAUAACACCUGGAAACAGAUGCUAAUACCGCAUAACAACUUGGACCGCAUGGUCCGAGCUUGAAAGAUGGCUUCGGCUAUCACUUUUGGAUGGUCCCGCGGCGUAUUAGCUAGAUGGUGGGGUAACGGCUCACCAUGGCAAUGAUACGUAGCCGACCUGAGAGGGUAAUCGGCCACAUUGGGACUGAGACACGGCCCAAACUCCUACGGGAGGCAGCAGUAGGGAAUCUUCCACAAUGGACGAAAGUCUGAUGGAGCAACGCCGCGUGAGUGAAGAAGGGUUUCGGCUCGUAAAACUCUGUUGUUAAAGAAGAACAUAUCUGAGAGUAACUGUUCAGGUAUUGACGGUAUUUAACCAGAAAGCCACGGCUAACUACGUGCCAGCAGCCGCGGUAAUACGUAGGUGGCAAGCGUUGUCCGGAUUUAUUGGGCGUAAAGCGAGCGCAGGCGGUUUUUUAAGUCUGAUGUGAAAGCCUUCGGCUCAACCGAAGAAGUGCAUCGGAAACUGGGAAACUUGAGUGCAGAAGAGGACAGUGGAACUCCAUGUGUAGCGGUGAAAUGCGUAGAUAUAUGGAAGAACACCAGUGGCGAAGGCGGCUGUCUGGUCUGUAACUGACGCUGAGGCUCGAAAGUAUGGGUAGCAAACAGGAUUAGAUACCCUGGUAGUCCAUACCGUAAACGAUGAAUGCUAAGUGUUGGAGGGUUUCCGCCCUUCAGUGCUGCAGCUAACGCAUUAAGCAUUCCGCCUGGGGAGUACGGCCGCAAGGCUGAAACUCAAAGGAAUUGACGGGGGCCCGCACAAGCGGUGGAGCAUGUGGUUUAAUUCGAAGCUACGCGAAGAACCUUACCAGGUCUUGACAUACUAUGCAAAUCUAAGAGAUUAGACGUUCCCUUCGGGGACAUGGAUACAGGUGGUGCAUGGUUGUCGUCAGCUCGUGUCGUGAGAUGUUGGGUUAAGUCCCGCAACGAGCGCAACCCUUAUUAUCAGUUGCCAGCAUUAAGUUGGGCACUCUGGUGAGACUGCCGGUGACAAACCGGAGGAAGGUGGGGAUGACGUCAAAUCAUCAUGCCCCUUAUGACCUGGGCUACACACGUGCUACAAUGGAUGGUACAACGAGUUGCGAACUCGCGAGAGUAAGCUAAUCUCUUAAAGCCAUUCUCAGUUCGGAUUGUAGGCUGCAACUCGCCUACAUGAAGUCGGAAUCGCUAGUAAUCGCGGAUCAGCAUGCCGCGGUGAAUACGUUCCCGGGCCUUGUACACACCGCCCGUCACACCAUGAGAGUUUGUAACACCCAAAGUCGGUGGGGUAACCUUUUAGGAACCAGCCGCCUAAGGUGGGACAGAUGAUUAGGGUGAAGUC